AUGACAGGGAAAGUUUUUGGUUAAUGGAGGUUUUGUGCAGAGUAAACAUGAUUAUUCUUUGUAUAUUAAACAUUAUGAUGAUGCUUUUGUA